rnacentral:sRNA from 1 species
CUAAUAAGAUUGAAAAAAGUAUAAAAGGAUUCCUCUCAGACAAAUGCCUCGUUUGUCCCCAUGAUUUAAUGAAUG